CAGGUCCUCCUACGGGAGGCAGCAGUGGGGAAUUUUGGACAAUGGGCGCAAGCCUGACGACGCAACGCCGCGUGGAGGAUGAAGGCCUUCGGGUUGUAAAGCUCUUUCGCACGCGAGGAUGAUGACGCUAGCGUGAGAAGAAGCCCCGGCUAACUUCGUGCCAGCAGCCGCGGUAAUACGAAGGGGGCAAGCGUUGUCCGGAUUUAUUGGGCGUAAAGAGCUCGUAGGCGGUUCGGUAAGUCGGGUGUGAAAACUUUGGGCUCAACCCAAAGCCUGCACCCGAUACUGCUGUGACUUGAGUCCGGUAGGGGAGUGGGGAAUUCCUGGUGUAGCGGUGGAAUGCGCAGAUAUCAGGAGGAACACCGGUGGCGAAGGCGCCACUCUGGGCCGGUACUGACGCUGAGGAGCGAAAGCGUGGGGAGCGAACAGGAUUAGAUACCCUGGUAGUCCACGCCGUAAACGUUGGGCACUAGGUGUGGGCUCUUACCAACGGAGUCCGUGCCGUAGCUAACGCAUUAAGUGCCCCGCCUGGGGAGUACGGCCGCAAGGCUGAAACUCAAAGGAAUUGACG
rnacentral:rRNA from 1 species